rnacentral:rRNA from 1 species
ACGGAAGGCAGCAGUAGGGAAUCUUCGGCAAUGGGGGCAACCCUGACCGAGCAACGCCGCGUGAGUGAAGAAGGUUUUCGGAUCGUAAAGCUCUGUUGUAGGAGAAGAACGUGUGUGAGAGUGAAAAGUUCACACAGUGACGGUAACUUACAAGACAGGGACGCCUAACUACGUGCAGGCGGCCGCGGAACAACGUAGGUCCCGAGCGUUGUCCGAAUUUAUUGGGCGUAAAGCGAGCGCAGGCGGUUUAAUAAGUCUGAAGUUAAAGGCCGUGGCUUAACCAUUGUUCGCUUUGGAAACUGUUAGACUUGAGUGCAGGAGGGGAGAGUGGAAUUCCAUGUGUAGCGGUGAAAUGCGUAGAUAUAUGGAGGAACACCGGUGGCGAAAGCGGCUCUCUGGUCUGUAACUGACGCUGAGGCUCGAAAGCGUGGGGAGCAAACAGGAUUAGAUACCCUGGUA